rnacentral:rRNA from 1 species
CACGCCGUAAACGAUGAUAACUCGUUGCAGGCGAUACACAGUCUGUGACUUAGCGAAAGCGUUAAGUUAUCCACCUGGGGAGUACGUUCGCAAGAAUGAAACUCAAAGGAAUUGACGGGG